GUGAGACAUAGACCCUAUGAGGGCUUGAGGCUUUCGUUGCUCUCGGACGUCAAAAAGGGUCCUUUGAUGACUGGGCGGUUACCUCAUCAGAGUGACAUGAGCUACAGAUGCGAAGGAUGUCCUUUUCAAAUCUGUGGGUAGCAACAAAGGUUGACCUUUCCAUCUUUAUACACUCCUAACCUCAAGAACACUCACCAAAAACUCUGAAUAACUGGGCCUGCAUAAAGCCAUCGUGCUGUAUUUCCCUGAGAUUUGAAGACUGCCUAAAGACUGUUAAGUUUCCUAGUCAACUACAAGUAUCAAUAAUAAACGACACUUGAAUGUGAAUGCUUAACAAGAAGGGAAACUUCAACAAAUUUUAUGUUUUAUCCUGUGUGCAAUCAUUUUUAUGGGUUCUACUUUACUAAAGAAAAUCUCUCUGAUUUUCAAAGCAUAAUAGAUACAGUAUGCUAUGUUUACAAUGAUGGGCAAAGAAGGAGAAGACAACGUAGAUUUAGUAUGUCAUUUGUAAAAUGAUAAAAUGCUAAAAUCUUCAAUUACAGCUCUUUAAAAAGAAUUGGAGGAGAGAGAUAAGCUUCAAUGUGCAUUGUGAGUCACCUCACAAAUUUAGAAGAAAAUGAACACCCAUUUCACUGGUUUUGAUUUGGAAAUUUUACCAUUUUACUUCAUAGCCUUUGAAGUUUCUAUGUAUUUAAAUCGUGUGCUGCUAUGCAACUGCGUCUUAUCUCAGACGGAUCCUUCCUCAAGUGAACAGGAAAGAACAUGUUUGACUAGCUAAUAUUUUGUCCUCUGGUUUUUCAUUGAGCCAUCAAGGUCUGUCAUAAAGGGAGUUUCAAAAUAAAACAGGACAGCGAGACAGAAACAAGCUAGCUGGAUACAAGAGAGUCUGAAAGUCUGAUCCUGAGAGAAAAUUUCCUAGGGGGAUUAUGUUAGGAAAAGACUUAACCUGGCCACAUUUAAAGGAAAGCAUAAACUCUAAAAGUAUUCCCCAAAUCUUUCAAGUGACUUCCUCUGGCAUAAGAACUAGACUGAUAAAUAUUUGUAACAUGAAAAAUGAAUGACCUAGAGACUGAUUUGGGGUUCAAGCUUCAAGCUAAAUAUCAGAAAAGUAAAGCAGCUGGCCUCUAGCUUCUUACCUCUACCUCAGACUGAAUAGGAUGAUCCAGGCUCCAUGAGCUAUCACCAAGCUUCUGACUGUAACCUUUCCUCAGUGUGAUUAAAGGAGUGUGCCUAGCUUCUA